CCAAAAAAAUUGGAUAUGGUGAAAAGAUCGGAUCUGUGCAUUAAGACUUACAGUGUAAACGCAGCCUGAGUCGAGUCUCUAGUCAUUUAAUGGCUCGCUAAAAUAAUUCCAUUCAGAAUCCUCAUGUUUUGAAAUCUUCCUAUUUACGAAGCUGUUUAGACAAACUAUAAUAUAAUAUAUUUUUAUUAAUAAUGUAUGAUAUGACUUAAUAAUGAGGCGGUUUCUCGGACAGGGUUUAAAUUAAGACAGGAGUAGGCCUUAAUCUAGAAUACUUAAUCAUGGCUUUAAAAAUGCCUUUCUGAUUCACAGAUUAAGUACAGAUUACUAACACCUGGACUAUGGAGUCCUGAACUAAAAUAAACUUGAUUCAUUUAAAACCACCUGUGCAAAUCUGAACUAGCUGAAUUGAGGUUGCCUAUAAAACAUGGACUGAACCAAGAAAAGUUUAGAAUUGUAUGCAACUGAAAAGCAAAUGGCAAUGACAGCUGAAAAGAGAGUGCGAUCAAAGAACUUUUCUGAACACGAGAAAAGUAUUAUAAAGCAAAUAGUUUCAAGACCUCCUGUUACUGAAGAUAAACUGCGCACAUCAGCUGUUGAAUCAAAGAAAAGGGAUGCCUGGAAAUCUAUUUGUAAUGAAUUUAAUGCAAAUCAACACAUCUACAAGAACAAUACAACAACUUCAGGUAAGAAUAAUCAGCUUUAUUAUGUGGCUUUUUUUCAUCACUGUUGUCAUUAUUUAAUACAGGUUUUGUGGAAGAAUAUAAAAAUAAACCUAAAAAAACUGCUGCUGAAGCUCGAAGAGAGAGGUUUAAGACUGGUGGAGGACCUGCAAAUAAAGACUGUGACGAGUUGGAUGAGUUACUGACAGGAAUAAUGGAGAACCAGCAGCCUUUGGAGAACAUACCAGAUGACGACCAUCUAGAUAGUUCAGAUGAUGGAUCACACACACCUAAGAGAAGGUCAGAACAGAACUGAAGAGAUGGAAGGCAGUUUACCCUCCACAUCCUCAGGAGCAAGGGUGGCAAUGUCUGCCAGUACUGGUCACCGGAAGAAAAGACUCCCUGUCCAUGAAAGGUUGGCUAAUGAAUUCCAUGAACACAAGUUGAAGUAUCUUAAGGAGGAGCAUGAAAUUAAGAUGAAGAUACUACAAGAAGAACUGGAGAUGAAGAUGGAGGAGAGAGAUGCAGCAGGCUCAAAAUGUCACAUCUAUACAUGAAUCUGUGAAAUAAAUAUUGUUUUAUUAAGU